ensembl:lncRNA
AAACUCAGAUGAAGAUGUUCAUGUUUCUGGGAAUUUUUUUUCUCUUCCUGGUAGUUGACAUAAAUGGGGAUGUGUGUUCAUACUGUACCUGUCACAUUUAUCACAUUCCUCACAAUAAUCUCAUAUAUCAAACUAUCAAUCAGCAAAUCACAUUUCUGUCUAAAUCUUGCAAAGCUCUUUAAAUGUGUACAGAUUGUAAUAUUCUAAUUAGAAACCGUCUGUGUGUGUGUGUGUGUGUGUGCUGGGGGCAUCAGAAUGGUCUGAAUUUGGGCGGCAGCUACUUUAUCAUAUAGUCAGCUCCACCCAGAACUCUCUCUAUCACACACACACACUUUCUGUCAUUCACUUGACUGUCAGUCACCUGAGCUGUCAAACAGCAUAAAUGAUGAACUGAGAACAAGAUGAGACAAGACAUCAUGCUCAGCAGACUGAUACUGCUGUCUGCCCUCUGUAUGGCAACAUCUGCAUCUCUGGGUAAUGCACAGUGCAAUGCAACACACUCAGAUGAAACAGGAUCAUGCAGUCUCACUACUGAUAGAACCAGCAAUCAAACUUUGAACAGCUGUGAUCUGAAUAAUCUGAAAAACUUCAGCUCUCUGAUUUUAAAUGCAGUGGAUGACACUGUACACCAUCUACAAUGUAUAUCAAACAGCCCAGCAAGUUUUCCUCAAGAAAAACUUCACAUGCUCCAAACUGAGCUUGGAAAGAUCAUUGCAUCAACACUAAAUGUUAUGGUUCACCUUGGAGUUUCUUCAAACGAGGACAUUGCUGACAGUUUUGGUGCUUUACACACACUGACUGCAGAAAAUGUGCAAAACAUGGAGUUUGUUCAGUCAUGGAUCUGUGUCAGGCUUAUUCCACUUCUCCCGUUUAUUACCACAGAGUUUAUAUCCAACAUGAGCAAGAUAAACUUUUCAUGUGUCAGCUACCAGACAAUAGUCAAAACACUCAGUCAGCAGGUGAAUCUGAUCAAUGGAACAUCUAAGACCUCCAUCUACAAACAAUUCAUUCAGCCAUUCUUGUCUAGACAACUUUCAGAUCCUGCAUGUCUUUCUAACAUUAUGAGCAGUGCUGAAUGGCUUGUGAAAAAUUUUGGUGAAUUUUCAUUCUACGCUACCUUAAAGGAUCUACAAACUCUGAAUGUAAAUUUUUCCAGUGUAAGUAAACUUUGAAAUUAACCAUGUUAAAUGUU